rnacentral:rRNA from 1 species
UGAGUACGAGAUGCUACGGCAUCGAAGCAGUCUAUGUCAUACUUCCAAGAAAAGCUUGCACUGUCAGAAACAGAUAAUGCCUGUACCAUAACCGACACAGGUGGGUAGGUAGAGUAUACUAAGGGGCGCGAGAUAACUCUCUCUAAGGAACUCGGCAAAAUGACUCCGUAACUUCGGGAGAAGGAGUGCCUUAUUUUUAAGGUUGCAAUAACAAGAUCCAAGCAACUGUUUACCAAAAACACAGGUCUCCGCUAAGUCGUAAGACGAUGUAUGGGGGCUGACGCCUGCCCAGUGCCAGAAGGUUAAAGAAGUCGGUUAGCAUUCGCGAAGCUGGUAACUGAAGCCCUGGUGAACGGCGGCCGUAACGAUAACGGUCCUAAGGUAGCGAAAUUCCUUGUCGGGUAAGUUCCGACCCGCACGAAAGGCGUAAUGAUUUGGAUACUGUCUCGGAGAGGGGCUCGGUGAAAUAGACUUGUCUGUGAAGAUGCGGACUACCUGCACCUGGACAGAAAGACCCUAUGAAGCUUUACUGUAACUUGAAAUUGAAAUUGGACUUUAUUUGCGCAGUAUAGGUGGGAGGCGUUGAAAAUAUUCUUGCGGGAAUACUGGAGCCAUCAGUGAGAUACCACUCUUGUAAUGUUAGAUUUCUAACUUUAUAUCAUUAUCUGGUUAAAGAACAGUUUCAGGCGGGCAGUUUGACUGGGGCGGUCGCCUCCCAAAUGGUAACGGAGGCGCACAAAGGUUUCCUCUGAACGGGUAGAAAUCGUAUCUAGAGUGUAAAGGCAUAAGGAAGCUUGACUGUGAGACCUACAAGUCGAGCAGGGACGAAAGUCGGUCUUAGUGAUCUGACGGUGCUGAGUGGAAAGGCCGUCACUCAACGGAUAAAAGUUACUCUAGGAUAACAGGCUGAUCUCCCCUAAGAGUUCACAUCGACGGGGAGGUUUGGCACCUCGAUGUCGGCUCAUCGCAUCCUGGGGCGGUAGUACGUCCCAAGGGUUGGGCUGUUCGCCCAUGAAAGCGGUACGCGAGCUGGGUUCAGAACGUCGUGAGACAGUUCGGUCCAUAUCCGGUGUAGGCGUUAGAAUAUUGAGAGGAGCCUUCUUUAGUACGAGAGGACCGAGAAGGACAUACCUCUGGUGUACCAGUUAUCGUGCCAACGGUAAACGCUGGGUAGCUAUGUAUGGAGUGGAUAACCGCUGAAAGCAUCUAAGUGGGAAGCCCACCUCAAGAUAAGUAUUCUC